UACGGAGGGGGCAAGCGUUAUUCGGAAUUAUUGGGCGUAAAGGGCGCGUAGGCGGCUAGAUGUGUCAAAGGUGAAAUCCCUCGGCUCAACUGAGGAACUGCCUUUGAAACUGUCUGGCUUGAGGCCGGGAGAGGGUAGCGGAAUUCCCAGUGUAGCGGUGAAAUGCGUAGAUAUUGGGAAGAACACCGGUGGCGAAAGCGCUCUACUGGACUGCAACUGACACUCAGGGACGAAAGCUAGGGGAGCGAAUGGG
rnacentral:rRNA from 1 species